CCUGGAGUGCCCCGCCUGCCGUCUGGGCCACGCCCAUCACGCGGACCGGCCUCCCAGAACCGCCCAUCCAGGAGGAAUGGGUGCCAGUCACCGCUAGACUCUGGGGAUUUAAGGUUUAUUUACCGAAGAGAAUAUAAAUGAAUAGACAUAAGGCAAACAACAUUAUGAAAGAACCACUGCCUAGAUGAUGCAUAAUUCUAAUAUCCCUGUUGCCAAAUUAAACAAACGAUUAACUA